rnacentral:lncRNA from 1 species
GUCUGGAUAUCAUUAUCUUUUGGCAAGGUCUAUGAUUAAUUGUUAGUUUUCUUUUUGCUUUUUUUGUUUUCCGUGUAAUACUUGGGUGUGACCCAUUUUAAUUCGCGAACCUAUGCAUGAGCUUAUUUGGCUGAAAAAAAGAGUGAAGUCUAAUGGUAUCAGAUAUAUUGGGUUGGGAUACUCUCACUAGCCAUUUACUAGUAUAAUGAUUGUACUGCCGCCACGGCUUUAUUUUAGGAUGCACAUAAAAACAAACGUGUUUUCUCCUAGUUCAACUUUUAUACAAUUUUAUUUGAUCAUGUAUACAAUCUAGCAAACACUUUUACUUAAGAAGGCAUAAUAAAGUUAUAUCUCGCAUUAACCAUCUAGGUUACAUUAUUCUACCUAAGUCCUUAAACAUGACUUAGAGAUCUUCAAGGAAGCUAUCAAAGUAUUCAUUUGCACAACUCUUCAAAAUAUUUGGCAAGAAUUACACCCCCAGUGAAUUUUAUAGUUGUGCAUAAGGGCACUCACAAUGCAGACUCUAUCAUGGAGUCUAAAGUUAUUUAUUACCUCG